UGGGGAAUAUUGGACAAUGGGCGCAAGCCUGAUCCAGCAAUGCCGCGUGAAUGAAGAAGGCCUUAGGGUUGUAAAGUUCUUUUAGUUGGGAAGAUAAUGACGGUACCAACAGAAAAAGCUCCGGCUAACUUCGUGCCAGCAGCCGCGGUAAUACGAAGGGAGCUAGCGUUAUUCGGAAUCACUGGGCGUAAAGAGCACGUAGGCGGUCUAGUAAGUUGGAAGUGAAAGCCCAGGGCUUAACCCUGGAACUGCUUUCAAAACUGCUAAACUAGAGAUCAAUAGGGGAUAGCGGAAUUCCUAGUGUAGAGGUGAAAUUCUUAGAUAUUAGGAGGAACACCGGUGGCGAAGGCGGCUAUCUAGGUUGAAUCUGACGCUGAGGUGCGAAAGUGUGGGGAGCAAACAGG
rnacentral:rRNA from 1 species